rnacentral:rRNA from 1 species
AGAGUUUGAUCAUGGCUCAGGACGAACGCUGGCGGCGUGCUUAACACAUGCAAGUCGAACGGAAAGGCUCCUUCGGGGGUACUCGAGUGGCGAACGGGUGAGUAACACGUGGGUGAUCUGCCCUGCACUCCGGGAUAAGCCUGGGAAACUGGGUCUAAUACCGGAUACACCUCAUGGACUGCAUGGUCUGUGGGGGAAAGCUUUUGCGGUGUGGGAUGGGCCCGCGGCCUAUCAGCUUGUUGGUGGGGUGAUGGCCUACCAAGGCGACGACGGGUAGCCGGCCUGAGAGGGUGACCGGCCACACUGGGACUGAGAUACGGCCCAGACUCCUACGGGAGGCAGCAGUGGGGAAUAUUGCACAAUGGGCGCAAGCCUGAUGCAGCGACGCCGCGUGAGGGAUGACGGCCUUCGGGUUGUAAACCUCUUUCAGUACCGACGAAGCGCAAGUGACGGUAGGUACAGAAGAAGGACCGGCCAACUACGUGCCAGCAGCCGCGGUA